rnacentral:lncRNA from 1 species
GAUUCUAUGAACUCAAAAUUCUCCUGCUUGGUCCUUCAUAAGGCUUUGCCAUAAUUGCCAGAGACAGAUCAUAAAGUAUCCUGAGGCAAGACCAGGCUCCUUAAUAUACUGCCCCAGUCACUGUGCCUUCUUCCCGCUGUCCGCUUGGCUUUUAAUAAUGGUUUAAUGAAAAACCCAGAAUUAAUUGGAAGUGGCACCAGACACUCUCGGGGCUCACUGCAGGCUCCUUGACAUCCAUGUUUUAUAAGCCAUGUGCCAGAGUGAGUUUGCUGUUCUCAGUCCCUGAGGACGGUGAGUCAGAUGGGAGGAGGGCAGGGAUCAGGGAGAAAGGGAAAUGCUAAGCCCUGAUACAGUGGCUGAAUCCUUGGAGACCUCUUCUGGCAGGAAGAUAUUCCUUCCUAUAGCCAUCCCUUCUCUGAGUCCCUGCUGGGUCCCUUGCCCUAUGCCCAAGCUAAGAGGGAGGGCAAAGGUAAACAAAGCCCAGCCCAGAAAUCAUUUGAAUCCUUCCCCUCACUUUACAAAUGAGGAAACUGAGGCUCAGAAAGGCCAAAAAAUCUUGCUCCAGAUCACACAGCUAGUUAAUAGCAGAGCCAGGAAGUCAACUUGUUCCACUGCCCAGAAUUAUAACAGCCAAUGGAUUGACCCACCACUGGAAGAACUGAAUCAAGUAACUCUUUGGGAUUCUUGGUGUAAAUGAAACCAGAUGCUACAAGGCAGUUGAAACUCAAUGGAAGGAUACCUCACAGGUACUCCCCAGAGGUGGGACCAAUUUUGUUUUUGUUUCUGUCCGAUGCCCAAAGGCAACAGCGUGCAUUAUUAUUAUUUGUAUCCUCAGCGCCUGGCAUGGGGCUUGGCACAUAGUAGACCCUUAAUAAAUACUUUUGCCUUCAUUAUUUCA